rnacentral:rRNA from 1 species
GAUGAACGCUAGCGGCAGGCUUAAUACAUGCAAGUCAAGGGGGUAGCAAUACAACCGGCGCACGGGUGAGUAACACGUACACAACAUACCAUAUACUGAGGUAUAGCUUCGGGAAACUGAAGGUAAUCCCUCAUAGUAUUGUGAAAGGGCAUCUUUUUACAAUUAAAGUUUCGACGGUAUAUGAUUGGUGUGCGUUUGAUUAGCUAGUUGGUAGGGUAACGGCCUACCAAGGCAACGAUCAAUAGCUGGCGUGAGAGCGCGACCAGCCACACUGGAACUGAGACACGGUCCAGACUCCUACGGGAGGCAGCAGUAGGGGAAUAUUGGACAAUGGGGCGAAAGCCUGAUCCCAGCCAUGCCGCGUGAUAGAUGAAGG